UGGCAGGAUUUAGAGACUGAUCAUUUCAAUUUAUGCCCAGAACAGGUAGGGCAGCAAUGAGAGCCUCUCCCACCCCACCCCACCCCUUCUCACCAGUGCGCCUCAACCCUGCCCUGGAGGGACCACCUGGAGCUGAGCAGGGAGUUCCCAUCGGUGCAAUAGAGGCCCCGGCCGCAGUAAACAGCA
rnacentral:sRNA from 1 species